UGAGUAACACGUAUCCAACCUACCUCAUACUCGGGGAUAGCCUUUCGAAAGAAAGAUUAAUAUCCGAUAGCAUAUAUUUCCCGCAUGGGUUUUAUAUUAAAGAAAUUCGGUAUGAGAUGGGGAUGCGUUCCAUUAGUUUGUUGGGGGGGUAACGGCCCACCAAGACUACGAUGGAUAGGGGUUCUGAGAGGAAGGUCCCCCACAUUGGAACUGAGACACGGUCCAAACUCCUACGGGAGGCAGCAGUGAGGAAUAUUGGUCAAUGGACGCGAGUCUGAACCAGCCAAGUAGCGUGAAGGAUGACUGCCCUAUGGGUUGUAAACUUCUUUUAUAUGGGAAUAAAGUUGUCCACGUGUGGAUUUUUGUAUGUACCAUAUGAAUAAGGAUCGGCUAACUCCGUGCCAGCAGCCGCGGUAAUAC
rnacentral:rRNA from 1 species